rnacentral:lncRNA from 1 species
UGAGGAAGAUGGAGAAUUUCAUGCAGAGAAUCAUGAACGUCUUUGAGACGGCUCAAGCCGUCACAAAGCCAAGAUGAUGUUCUGUUAUCGGGUUUAGUAGACCAAGUCUUGAGCUUGCUGAUCUCAUCUUUGAUCUAGGAAACCAAAGAGUGUGAUCUACACAGAAGACUGAUGGAUCUAAUGUGAUGAGACAUGGGUGGACGGUUGGGAUGUUUGUUAGGGAAUGAAAGG